UCCAUUUCAGUUCUUCAUGCAUCUUUAGCU
rnacentral:piRNA from 1 species